GCUGAAGUAGCUCAGCCGGUAGAGCAGCUGAUUCGUAAUCAGCAGGUCGUGGGUUCGAGUCCCAUCUUCAGCUCCA
rnacentral:tRNA from 1 species